UUUGUUGGAGUAUUGGAAGCAGUGUACAUUGCUGAUUAAUGUGUGUUAAACAGGAAAAUUAAAUUAUCCCCUCUCAUAAGCUGCUGAACUCUAACUUCUGUAGAAUAAAACGACUCUCAAUUUCUCAACGAAACAAAACUUCUUUUUAACACUUGCACACAGAACCGCAGGUCCUGGGGGGAGGGGUAAAAUCUGUAACACAAUAUCUGAUCCUGUCCUAAAGAAAACUUCAUAUGUUUCAGGUAUUUGCUCUGCCUUUGUCGAUAACUGAAUUGUUUUUAUAUUUCCAGUGGGUAGCAUACAAUAAAAGGGACACGAGGACUAUCAUCCUUCAUGUGAACAACAAGACCUUGCCACCCUUCUUCGUGUUGAAUCUGCGUGUUCUAGGAGAGGGAAGUCAGCAUCAGGCUCUGGCCUUCACCUCCCAGCAAAGCUUGACUGAUGAUGCUGCCAUUGAGGGGUUGGAUGGACGCCCUCCUCCUCUUCUGCAGCAGCCUGGGACAGGAAGAGAUAUUCUUUUGGCUGCCCAUCACCACCAGUUGCCAUCUCGGCUGGCCAAGAAAGAGUAAAAUGUCGGCAGCAACCUCUGACAGAUCAGGACGAGGUGAUGUCCCCUCGCUGUGGGGGCAGCUGGGCCUCAAGGCAGCAGAUCCGCAGGACAGCAGUACCACAGGAUGCUCGUUCCUGGGCCUCCCUAUGAAAGAUUUUGUGAUCAGUGCUGAUUUUUCUGCUUUUCUGAAUUGUUUUGCAAUGUGUUGCAGAGUUGCUUAGGCCUUAGGGUAAUAAGGCUUAUAUAUCACUACUGUGAGGUUUUUUUCUUGAGAGCGGAAACUGCCAAGCAUGAAAAAGAGAGGGGAAAAAAAAAUAACAGUUGCUUUUUUAUGAAUCCCUGUUGUUUAUUCUGCAGUGUACACCCAAUAGCAAUUACUUUAAUCACAGCAGAGACUGUGUGAAUCCAUCAGAGAGAAAGUCUAUAAACAUGAUAAAGAAAUGUCAUAUUGUCCUCACUAUCAGUUUAUCUUUUUUUAAAAAACUCUCUUGUAGGGGACAGUAGUGAUAAAAAAUAAAAUUAACAGAAACCUGAGGCA
rnacentral:lncRNA from 1 species